GGAGAUGCAGAACAAGCUCCGGGGGUGCUGCACCCACCACUGAGCCCAGAGGCAGACACCGGGGAGCUCACCUCAGCCCGAGUAGAUUUUCUACACCAGCUAACUGCAAGAAGCCGAGGCCUGGCCAGAGCACACAUACGUGCUGAGGAGACCGCAGCAAAGGUGAGCGUGUGUGCUGAGGAGGCUGUGACCUCGGGGCGCACAGGACUGCAGGAGACUCACGCUCUUCAUUACAAUGAAGAAACCCAGCAGCUGGUAAAUGGUGAAUGUGAACGAGUAAAGGAGCUCACUUCAGGUUAGCACAGAAUCACAGAAUAUCCAAGUUGGAAGGGACCCACAAGGAUCAUCAAAUCCUACUCCUGACUCCACACAGGACCCCCAGAAAUCAGACCCUGUGUCUGAGAGCAGUGUCCAAACAUCCCUUGAACUCCGGCAGCUUGGUGCCAUGCCCACUGCCCUGGGCAGCCUGUCCCAGUGCCAGACCACCCUCUGGGUGCAGAGCCUUUCCCUAACACCCAGCCUGACCCUCCCCUGUCCCAGCUCCGUGCUGUUCCUUCAGGUCCUUUGGCACCAGUGUUCAUUCAGGUAUCACUGAGAGAUCAGUGACAAUGCUGUGUUACAUUUCUGAUGGUGUUUUACAUCCUAUUCUUUCAUUUCAAGUUAAUUAACAUUUUGUUUAAUAAUGACACUUUUGCACAGACAGGGGACGGCUCUUGUUUGUGCAUUGGCUGGCAUCACCCCAGUGUUUAUCUGUCAAGAAUAUCUCAUUUCACUGACUUUCGGAUUAGAUUUUAAAAGCAAGACCCUAGAGGGAAAAUGCCCUUCACAUUUCUCAUGAGUCGAUGUUUAUGAUGAGCAGCGUAUGGCACUAAUUAUUUCUA